UCGAUCAUGAAUUUUUGCGUGGAACCAAGCUUUUGGUUUAUAAAUUGAUCAGUAAAAUUAUUGAUGUAAAAACCAAUGUACAGUGCAUUCCACAACUGUUUAUGUUUAGCAUUGCACGUACUCACUUUUCUGUAUGAUGUGGGCAGCUCAGUAAAUCUUCAGAGAAAAAUCUGACUCAGUCAAGUCAGGGAUCCUGAAAGC
rnacentral:lncRNA from 1 species